AAUCUCCGAGGGGCCUGAGCCAUUGUAGGCCCUGCCGCCCCCCCCCCACCCCGACGGUUCUCAGGACAAUCAGCUCAUCGCCAGGAUAGCAUUGAGCCCACGCACAGGAGGCCAACCUGAGAACGAUGGCCAAGACUGGAGCAAAGUUGAGACUGCGACCUCUUCCUGAUUUGCCUUCCCUGAAGACAACUAGGCCUCUAACUUCAUGUGGGGGAAGCAUCCAUUGGCUAACUUGGACUUCUCCAUCUUGCUGGCUCACCAGAACUGAGUUUGUAGAGACAUAAAUAUGCAUUGCAGGGGUGCCUGGGUGGCUUAGUUGGUUAAGUGUCUGACUUUUAUUUCAGCUCAGGUCAUGAUCUCAAGGUCUUGAGAUCAAGUCCUGUGUGAGGCUCUGUGCCCAGUGGGGAGUGGGCUUGAUCUUUCUUUCCUUUUCCCUCUUCCCCUCCCUGUUGCUCACAUGCAAUCUCUGUCUCUCUAAAAUAAAUAAAUAUUUUUUAAAAUAAAAAUAAAUAAAAUAAACACAUAAUGGACAUUAAAAGAGAGAGACUUUGAGGGGCACCUGGGUGGUUCAGUCAGUGAGUAAGUGUCUGCCUUUGGCUUAGGUCAUGAUCUCAGGGUCCUGGGAUCGAGCUCCAUGUCAGGCUCCCUGCUCAGUGGGGAGUCUGCUUGAGAUUUUCCCUUUCCUUCUCCCUCUGCCACUUCCCCUACUUGUGCAUGAGUGGAUGCUCUCUCUCUCAAAUGAACAAAUAAAUCUUUAAAAAACAAACAUGCAUCACAAACUUUAGAAACAUUUUUUCAGAAUGAUAAAGCUUAAACAUUUGGAGAGGGUGUGUCAAGAGUGAUUCAUAACAAACCGCAGUAAUGAAUAAGGCAAUUGGUAGAAAAGAGGGUACCACCUACACAGAACAGUUCCUUAGGAAUUUUAAUUUCAAUUCCUGGGUCAACUUUAUUCUAGAGAAAUAUGGUACUUUUUAACCUUCAGAAACCUACUUAAUCCCAAUAGGAAACAAAUGAUCCUAUGAGAAGCUGGAAUCCAAUCCUACUUUCUUGGGUCUUUCUCCUCCUCAUUGUGAAUAAGUAGCAUUAAUGUUGGAGCUGGAACUCAUGCUACAUUAUCCUUUCCCUCUUCAAUGUCAUGGGACAGGGGGACACAAUAGGGUGAUCUCUGCAAAACUGGCCUUAUGGCUCUAAGAGGUGUAUUUCUCAUUUAAUAGCGAAUCCUGCAAGUA
rnacentral:lncRNA from 1 species